CACGUAGGAGGCGAGCGUUGUCCGGAAUCAUUGGGCGUAAAGAGCGCGCAGGCGGCUUGGCAAGUCGGGUGUGAAAUCCCGGGGCUCAACCCGUGACUGCAUCCGAUACUGUCAGGCUAGAGGUAGGUAGGGGAGAUCGGAAUUCCUGGUGUAGCGGUGAAAUGCGCAGAUAUCAGGAGGAACACCGGUGGCGAAGGCGGAUCUCUGGGCCUUACCUGACGCUCAGGCGCGAAAGCUAGGGGAGCGAACAGG
rnacentral:rRNA from 1 species